rnacentral:rRNA from 1 species
AACGAACGCUGGCGGCGUGGAUAAGACAUGCAAGUCGAGCGGGACAAUCAGGGUAGCAAUAUUCUGGUUGUUCAGCGGCGCAAGGGUGCGUAACACGUGGGUAAUUUGCCAUGAAGUCUGGAAUAACUUGCUGAAAGGCGAGCUAAUGCCGGAUGUGACUUCCGAGGGGCAUCUCUUGGAAUUCAAAGCUGGAACCGUAAGGUCCGGCGCUUCUUGAUAAGCCCGCGGUCUAUCAGCUAGUUGGUGAGGUAACGGCUCACCAAGGCUAAGACGGAUAGCUGGUCUGAGAGGACGACCAGCCACACUGGAACUGAGACACGGUCCAGACACCUACGGGUGCAGCAGUCGAGAAUUUUUCACAAUGGGCGAAAGCCUGAUGGAGCGACGCCGCGUGGGGGAUGAAUGGCUUCUGCCCGUAAACCCCUGUCAUUUGCGAACAAACCUUACCGGUUAAUACCCGGUGAGCUGAUUGUAGCGGAAGAGGAAGGGACGGCUAA